rnacentral:rRNA from 1 species
UACGUAGGGACCAAGCGUUGUUCGGAUUUACUGGGCGUAAAGGGCGCGUAGGCGGCCAACUAAGUCACACGUGAAAUCCCCAGGCUUAACCUGGGAACUGCGUGUGAUACUGGAUGGCUUGAAUUCGGGAGAGGGAUGCAGAAUUCCAGGUGUAGCGGUGAAAUGCGUAGAUAUCUGGAGGAAUACCGGUGGCGAAGGCGGCAUCCUGGACCGACAUUGACGCUGAUGAGCGAAAGCUAGGGGAGCAAACGGG